rnacentral:lncRNA from 10 species
CAGCACCUGGUGCCCAAAGCCAUAGGCCUGGGAGCUGUGCAGGUCUUGCAGGCAGACGACACCACUUAGCGGACGCGAUUUCUUCCCUGGUCCCACUGCCUGGAGCCAUGCUCACCCCGAACGCUUCCACCAGCUCAGGCUGCAUGGUUUCAACAAGAGGAAUUUGUUUCUCAUAGUUCUGGAGGCUGGAAUUCCAAGAUCAAGGGCCUAUGACCAUGUCUGAUGUUCAGGGAAUGAAGAAGUGAAGAAAGCAGGAAUGAAUGAAGGAAGGAAGCAGCCCCAGCAAUUGGUUCCCAGGCGAGAAGCUGGUGGGGUUCUGACUUCUAUCCCGAUUCACACCCUUUUCUCCUGCCCUCAGGGCGGUCCUUCUCCUGCUCUUGUUCAUUCAUCCCCUUCAGCCCUUUCGUAUUCUCUUCUGUAGCCGAACCACAAAAAAUAAAUACAUUAGAAAUGUUUUCCGAGCUCAUCGUGUCAAUUUCUCUGCCCCAGCCCAGUGC